GGAAAUAUAAGCCUAAUAGGUAAGGCAGCAGUUUGCUAAACUGCCAGUAGUCGAGGUAAAACUUGGCGUGUUGGUUCGAAUCCAACUAUUUCCG
rnacentral:tRNA from 1 species